rnacentral:rRNA from 1 species
AACCAGCACCCCGAGUGGUCGGGACGAUUAUUGGGCCUAAAGCCUCCGUAGCCGGUUCUACAAGUCUUCCGUUAAAUCCACCUGCUUAACAGAUGGGCUGCGGAGGAUACUAUGGAGCUAGGAGGCGGGAGAGGCAAGCGGUACUUAGUGGGUAGGGGUAAAAUCCGUUGAUCCAUUGAAGACCACCAGUGGCGAAGGCGGCUUGCCAGAACGCACUCGACGGUGAGGGAUGAAAGCUGGGGGAGCAAACCGG